rnacentral:lncRNA from 1 species
AUAAAAAUUAGAUGAAUUUUAAUUUAAUUAAAAAUAAAUUAUGAAAAAUAUAUAUACCUUUAAAAAAAGGGAUAAGAAAAUUAGGCGAGUAUGCGGGUGGGGUCUGCAUAGAAAAAGAGGGAGGAAGAUAGGGGAGAGGAUUAUAAGGGGAUAAUAAUAAAUAAAAGCCCUAAAUUUUUUUUCUUCGUCGCGUAGAAUAACAUUCUAUCUUUGUCAAUUUGAUUUCUUUUCUUUUUCUUUUUCGAGCUUGUGCCUUUAACCUGUUAACCGACGACGAAGACGAUCAUACUCGUCAGAAAUUUUUAACGAUAGAAGACGUAUUAAUAAUAAUAAUAAUAUUAAUAAUAAUAAUGAAUAAAUAAAUAAAAUAAAAUAAUGUAAGUCGAUGUAUAAUCAAUGGUUUUUUUCAUUUCCAUUAAAAAUAUCUUUUAUGAAUGUAUCUUUUACAUUAUGUUUAUGUUUUAUUACAUUUAGAUAAUUCUAUUUAACAAUAAGCGCUAAAUUUAAGCCUUAUAAUCGUGUCGUAUGUAAAUUUGAACUGAAUACAAAUUAGAUAAUAGCAUAUUCACAUUCUCACUGACCGAAAAGGAAUUUUUCCCCGAUUAACAGGUUAAAGGAGUCGUGUCAUCGUCAUAUAUAAUUGUUGCAAUCAUAUAAGGCACAUUUCGUCAAUGGCGCGAGGGAAGUGUUUUUCUUUUUUUCUCAUAUAUACAGGGUGAAUAGCAUAGUAAUCUCUACUGAUAGUGAUUCGUGAAUCACCCUGUAUGUAUAAAUAUAUAUAUAUAUAUAUUAUAUUUUUUUUUUUUUUUUUUUUUUUUGAAUCUUCUUAUCUUCUUUUCUUCUCUUAUUAUACGCCACAAUACAUUUCGCCAAAGACGGCCCUAGUCAUAUUCUUUACUCGUCUUUGUCGAAGACAUCAAGGACAGCUUGAGCCGAUCUUAGCGUUUUUUAAUUCUCGGCCGAGCAUCUCUUUUACAUGCAUACAUGCAUACAUAGAGUGAGUCACAGUAGUAUUCGUAUACUACUACUGUAACUUUAAAAUAAUUAAUAUUUGCUUUCUUUUUUUUUUCUUAUUAACAACCUCUUUACAAUUUAUCCGGUUGACUACCUAAAUGCAGCUGUAUUUAAGGUCUCGAUAUCAAUUUGAAAGUUUAAUUAUCUUAAAACAAAUUUCGAUGUAUAGGAAUUUUGAGAAAUUACAUUAUAAGUAAAUAUCAAUUAUUUAAAAUUGAGAGUGAGGGUGGUUAUGAAUACUACUGUGACUGACUGUACAUACAUACAUACAUACAAAUAUACGUAUAUAUAUAUAUAUACAUAUAUGAAACGACAAAGAGAGAAGUAAAAAUGUUGCUUGUUAGACAAAUCGAUGGUAUGCAAUUAAUCUCAAAUCGUCUUUGACAUCGAUCGAAAGGAAAGAUAACUAAUUCGCAAUGGCAAAUAAAUAUGAAUAAAUCUAUCAAUAAACCGGCCGCGGUUAUACCAACUAUACACACUUCCAAAUUAGGAUUGUUACGUUUGUUAUGAUAGUUUUUAUUUCCUUAAAAACAAACAAAAAUGAAGAAAAUCCAUGGUUUGUUUUGCUCUAAGCACGUUUGUUAGACCACCGACAUUUGUGCAAGUAGUUAUGACAGUGGACUUAAUUCAAAAAAUUGGAAAAAAAAUCUUUUGAUUUAUUUCAUAUUAAAAUUAUUUAUAUUACAAAAUAAAUCAUAACAUAAACAAAUAAACAUUUUUUGACUUAUUAGCCCACCGUUAAUUACCGGCACAUAUGUGAUAUAAAAUUGAUUUGUUUUCAUUGGUGCCUGUAUAAUACUAUUUGAAAGAUUUCAUUAUCUUUAUCUUUCUCUUUUCUUUCUUCCAUUUUCUUUCUGUCCCAUUUUAUACCGAAAACGUGUUACAUUUUUUGCAAUCUAAUAUUAUUGGACAUUGUUUACGCCUUCAUUCGUUUUUCUUGGGGUUUUUUAUUUUUUUUUUUUUUUUUUUUUUUUCUUUUUUUCUUUAUAAUUGUCACUCAAUAUGAUAACACAACGACAAUGUGGAGUUGCGUAAGCGUGAUUUUAAACAAUGAGACGAACAUGGAAAAAGUUAGGAAGAGAGAUGGUUUGUUCAGUGGCAGGGUCGCGUGUAUUAAUAAAAAGCAUGUGCAAAUAUAUAAAAUAGCGUUCGUCGUAUAAUAGUUCGGUAAAAAAUAAAACAAAAAUAAACGCGAAUACUUUAAAACGACGAAGCUAAGCUAUACAAGCUGUUAUUAAGUUAUUAUGAGCUAGAAUAAUGUAAUUUUAAUUAUUCGAUGAGAAUACGCAGUUAUAUUUAAGAGGUACCGUAAAUUAAUUCGAUUUUAUAAGACCAAAACUUCUGUAUGUAUUUUUACAAACUUAUUUGCAAGUUGAUUAUAUUAUAUGAAGAAAAUAGACGGAGUCACUUAGCAACGAGAAAAAAAAAGUCUUCUACUGCCAGACGUAGAUUACGUAUUUUUUCGGGCCAUGCGAUUCUGUUGUUCUUUAUUAUUACUACUAUUAUUAUAGCUUUAUUAAAAUAAAAAAGUCGAUAGUUCUAUAUUACCCGAUUUGUAACGAUCGGUCGUUGUUUCGCAGCGUUAUUCUUUAUUAUUAUUAUUUUUUAAAAAUAUUAUUAUCAUUAUGUUGAUUAUAUAUUAAAAAAAAAUAAUAAUAAUUUUCGCUUAAUUUCUAAACUUAUACAUUAUUUAUCGUGCGUUUUUUCUUCGCUCUUUUUAUAGGCUAUCCUAUCUUGUAUAAGUUUAUAAAUUUAUAAUCGAUAAGGCUUAUUAUACAUUAUGAACAUUGUGAAAGCUUAGUGCAGUAUUACGAUUAUUUCCGAAUUCUUUACACGAUAUAUACAUUUAUAUAUAUUGCUAUUUUGUAAAUCUGUAUUAGGACAUGAUUUCUCGAAAUAAAAGUUCGAAAAUAACGAGCUCGUCGAAUUCCUGUCCUAAUACGGAAUCAUUUUGAAGUAUCAUCACGACGACACAGAAUUCUUUGUAUAUGAUAUUUUAUCUCAAGCCGAUUAUUCAAAAUAAUGUAUAUUCAAUUUGAACGUAUGAAAAUUAAGCAAAGUUAUAUAUGAAGAUAUAUUUCGUUGAGAUAUAUUAAAGCGCGCAUCUAAAUAUUCUUCAUUAGGAGGGCAUUAAUGAAUAAAUUAUUUACAAUCAAGUAAGUUUAUUAGGCUUGUAUAAGAGUUAUCUGUAUUGUUGCGUAGAGAGGAAGGUGGGCUGCUUAUUGUUGGAGGUUUACGCAAUUUUUCCUUACCCUUGCUCCUCCUACCAACUCACAAGUUAAUAAUAUAAGUUUCCAGGGGUAUGCACUUAUGUUAAUAGAAAGAUACAAUUCCUAUAUUGUACAUAGGAAAAUCAUAAUAUGUCAAUUUUAGAUUUAAGGGUCAUUCUGGUCAAGCGCCGCAAAUAUCAAAGUAUUUCUUCAAAAUUUAUCUUUCUUUUCCAAUAAUAACAACGAGUUAUGCUUCCAAAAUUGUUAUUACAUAUAAAUCUAAUACAAAAUAAAUGGUUUUUUCUUUUUUUCAAGAAAAAUAGUUGCCUUCAAUAUGACAUAUCUGAAAAACUCUUAGAGACUCUUGUAAAAGAUUUGUUCACUUUUAUUGAUCCGAAAUUAGAAAAAUUCGAGUUAAUUUUUACUUUGUAUGAAAAUGAAACACUUCUACUUACUUUACUUUGUUAAAAAUGAACAAAAAUAACAAAUAACGAAUUUUAAUAAGUACACUUUGCGAUAUAGGCUACAAUUUUGUGCAAUGGUUAGAUAAAAAUAAAUGAAACACAUUUGAGUGUUCACAAAAAUAUUGAUUUCAACAAAUUCAACUAAUUAUAGUAAUUAGUAGGAUUGCCAAUAUUUUCUUAAAUCGUGAAAUUAAACUGAAUUCAUUUCCUUCUUCAUAUUUAUUUCUAUGCGAUACUUGGAUUUUUUCAUAGCAACUGUCGAACAUCUAACAUCGCACAAAUAAGAAGUCGCAAAUGGAAUUAAAAUGUUGAAAAUUGUGUAAUAUUUUGCGGCACACACUUUGAGAAUUACCGAUGUACAGGAUAACGUUUUAAAAAUUCACUCUAAUCGAUUAUGUAUUUCAAUUUACAACCUAUAUAAAAGUCGAAAUAAUGGAAACUGUCCGUCAACAAUUUUUGUAUUUCAUUUUUAGUAGCAUACUCAAUCGGUAUAUGUAAACAAAAAAUCCAUUUUUCCCAAAUUUUUGACCAGUAUGACCUUUUAAACAAAACAUUUAAAAACAAGAAUAAGCUCAAUUACGAUAUAAAUUAAUUUUCUAAGUAUUCUGUUGUCUUUGUACUGUAAGUAAGUAAUUUCAAAAAAAGAAAAAGGAAAAAAAAGAAGGUACUUAUUCAAACAAAAUUUCUUAACGAGAAAUUGUGAAGAGAAAAAAACAAACUUAGGUUGUACGUACUGUUAUUGUGUUCAAUAUAUAUAUAUAUAUAAAUAAAAGAAUAAGAGUCAAAAAGCAAAAAAGAACAUAAAAGAAAAGGGAGAAGAAGAAAUAACAAAAAAUAUCAAAAAUGAAAUUGUAAUAGGUAAUCGACUCUGGUAGUAGGGAUCCUCAAAGAUUGAUUAGAGACACCGUUAUUUAAAUAAAAAGCAAAGUUCUAAAGACUAUGUCAAAUAUGAACGCAAUUUAAUGAAUAAUUAUUUCUAUAGGGAUACCAAAAUGAAUUGAUGAGAGACCCUUUUGGGCUUCCAUUAAAUAAUUCAUUUCAGUCGGGCCACUUUUUGCCAUUAGAUGACGGAUAAUUUACAUGCGCACCCAAUAUGUCGACAAAAUUCAUACAUACCAAGUCCGAUAUAAGCGAUUAAGAAGAUGUAACUCCUAAUUAAAUUAAAGGAGUUCACUUAAAUAUAACAGUCGUUGUUAUAACUGCCUAAUGAUAAGUAAAAAAAAGAGGAAAAAAGAAAGAAAAAUAAAAAAGAAGCACUUAUACAAAUGAGGAGAGAAGGAAGAAAAAGAAGAAGAAGAAUAUCCGUUGUAUAUACUUGCUCGUAAUAUUCAAUAUUCGUUGUAUAUUCUAUGGAUAUUCUGCUAACACUUUGUGCUAUAUUCCAUACAUUGGUAAUAAACUAAAAAUAGCUUUAGGAUAUUCUUUUAUUCCAAUUCUAAAAGCAGAAUUAUAAAUCACAAUCUCUUCGCUGCUACUCUGGAAAUCCAAUGAAUAAAGAAAAAAAAAGAAAAAGGCAAAAAAAAGAAAUAAUCGAUGUGUGUAAAAUAAAAAGUAAUUAAUUAAAUUCAGCGUGUAUUAUUUACAAUUGUACGGCGGAGCACUUCUAAAAAGCUCGAAUAAACGAUAGAAUAUUAACAAAAAUAAUACAUAAUAUAAUACAAUAUUAUAUGGAUAAUAAUCUGUUCUUCGGCUUUUCCUUCUCUUGACUAUAAUAAUUCUAAAUAUACGCGAAUACGUAAUUACGAAAUAAAAGAAUAAGGAAGGAUUUUAUGGGGGGGGAAGGUGGAGUUUUGAGGAUAUAAAAAAAAAUAAACACGAAAAGUUUCAUAGGUAAAUAAAAUGGUAAAUAUAAUGACAAAUAAAAUGAUUUAUUCUAAGCUCUGUCGUAACAAUUUUCCUACGUUGUUAAAUUUGUAAACGCAAGAUAUAGGUAAUAUUGUAAUGUAGGAAAUACGCAAAUCAUUGUUUGUUGCUACUGCUUUAUCGUACUAUAAUUUUACUUUUAUUAUUAACAAAUAAAAAAAAAUAAAAAGUAUCGAGCCAGAUACUUUUCAAGAAAAUUCUGUCCGGCGGAGUACACAAUUUCGGAUAUAUAAAUUUGAUGCUUUGUGUAAUUUAAAAGAUUAGCGCGUAAGUGUAGUUCUUAUAUAAAAUGGCGACUACUAAGUUAUAUGCACAUCGAAUGGGGCCUUUCGGAUUAAUAUGUAUAAACAAUUUCCUAUUCGAUUAGUAAUUAUAAAGGAAUUACAUUGAAACUUUACAUUUUUCGUUGCCGAAUAAUGAAUUAUGCAAUAAGUAUGUUAUUAUUAACUAUUUUCAUCGUUAUGAUUAUGAUUAUGAUCAUCAUCAUCAUCAUCAUCAUCAUCAUCAUCAUCAUCAUUAUCAUCAUCAUCGGCGUCGUCGUCAUCAUUAUCACUAUUAUCAUUAUUACCAAUAAUGAUAGUCCUUAAUAUAUUUACUGCAUGCUUAUUAUAUAAUAUAAUCACGUUAUUAUUAGUUUUACGAAUAAGUUUCUUUUAAAACAAAAAAAAUAUGUUAGAAAGCAGUAAUGCAAAAUGCAUGAUUUCCAUGUGGAUCUGACAUUUUAUUAAAUGCUUAUUUUGAUCUUCCACCUUGUGAAAUCAUUCAUAUCUGUUUCUUUAUUACCCUUUUUAUUAUAGCGAAAACUAGCGGAAUGCCAAUGAUAUCUCAGUGAACGCAAUCGCUACGCUAUUGGAAAGAGAUAAGGAAAAACAGAAGACAAACAAAAGUACAGUGUCAGACCGAUAUUUCGUACAACCAUCACUUCUUAAUAAUCCGCCUACUAGUGCACUUGUAGGCGUGCAUACACAUAUUCUUUCUGUUUAAAGUAUUACUGCGAUUACGCACUGCUAUUUCCAACAAAACGUUCUAAUUUUAG